UCACAGGAAGAAUCUCAAAUAUGGGAGGAAGUGAACAUACCUUGGUUGUCUUAGGAGGGAAAAAAAAAGAGUCAGAGUCACAGUGUCACAAUGAUUAAAGAAAAAGUUGGGGCUGGCAGCAGCCGACACCCUUUCUAUUGGUGAAAGACUUCUGUAGAGAAUGUGGCCAAAGAGACACCUAGGCUCAUAAAGGCCAGAAUUCUGACUCCAUGUUCUAUGAGGUCACAAGAGCUAAUUCUCCAGCAUAGCUGAAAGUUCCAAUGUCAAGUUCUCUGGGGACACAGAAUACUAGAGUGCUGCAGACAUGGAGCUCUGCCCUUCCUCCAGCCCCAGCCUGCGCACCUUAGCUCUGGCUGCCCCUUCUGUGCAUCAGCUGGAAUUCCCCAGGAGGUAGAGGAGGUUUUGCACAGGGGAAGGCCGUCAAUCACCGGAACUGGGAGGGUAGGACCGUGCUGAGAGGGGAACCCAAGUUCUCAUUCAGGGUGGAGCAACAGCUAAGUCCUGACCAACCUGAGGCAGGCUCGACCUGAUGAAGGGACAGCUCAUCGGGAUCCCUUGUAGUAGCUGGCUCCCCUACAGUCUGGAAUGCCUCAGGGCCAACGUGGGAUCAAGCAGGAAAAGGAAACUGCUGGAUUAACUGUGCCAAACUCAAAUCACUAUGUUCAGUGAAUUACAAGGAGCCAAAGGAAAUGAUGAGGGUAGAUAAGAGACUAAGGUGAACCAAAUGUCCCUAGAGGCUCUAACUGCUGUAUGCGCUUGAUCCCACCAUCCUACUAUCCCUUGUGCCAUAGGUGAGCAUGUGACGAGCGACUACUUGGAGCCAAACAUUUAUGUCCUCCUGAGUCAACUUGUGAAGCUACACACAUGAGACAGUGUGGGUAUGCUGCAUAAUCAGGUUCUUCCUUGAAGACCACUCAUCUCGCUGGUUGAUUCUUGAUGAGGCAGGUGGCAGGAGCUUGGCUUGUUUGAACCCUUCAGGGUCAGAAGUGGAGCAAGAAGACUAGGUAAGUGGAAAGAGGCAAGCCAGAGUAGAGCGCAGACCAGAAAAGCCAGAGUACACCAAGCUGAGGGCAUGACUGGCCCUCUCUUAGAGGGACAUGCACCUGACUAUUACAGAGAAAGACCCCUGAACAUCUCUUCCACCCAAUUCACCUUCCAGGUUCUCAGAUACUGAGCUAUAAUCACCAACGUUCCUGCAACCUGCUAUUGAUUUCCAAGAAGGACAACUUCUGCCCAGUGGAUGUUGAAUCUCUGACAGAUUAAGUGGGAAGGCACACAGCAGUUCUUUGUUCUAUGCCAGGGAGGCCCGAUGCAACUCAAGUGUCAUAAAAGAGGGACAGCGACUAGCAAGAUGGCUCGGCAGGCAAAGGCUCCUCCUGCCAACCCUGCCAACCUGUGCUUCAUUCCUGGCACCCACAAAGUAGGAGAAGAGAACCAGCUUCUUCAAGCUGUUCUCUGACUGCCACACAUGCUACGGCAGGUACACUCCCAUAAUAAAUCAGUCUAAAGAGCCCACAAUUAUGAAGGAAGCAGGGUGUGCGGGCACGUGCGUGAGUGUACGUGCGCAUGCACGCGGGGCAUGGGACCUAGCAGGAGAAGCCAACUGCAGCUGUAGCUCUCCUGUGCU
rnacentral:sRNA from 1 species